GAUCAGGAGCUUGCUCCUGUGACGCGAGUGGCGGACGGGUGAGUAACACGUAGGCAACCUGCCCAUCAGACCGGGAUAACCACGGGAAACCGUGACUAAUACCGGAUAAUCCUUUUCCUCACAGGAGGGAAAGUUGAAAGGCGGUCUUUUGACUGCCACUGAUGGAUGGGCCUGCGGCGCAUUAGCUAGUUGGUGGGGUAAGGGCCCACCAAGGCGACGAUGCGUAGCCGACCUGAGAGGGUGAUCGGCCACACUGGGACUGAGACACGGCCCAGACUCCUACGGGAGGCAGCAGUAGGGAAUCUUCCGCAAUGGACGAAAGUCUGACGGAGCAACGCCGCGUGAGUGAAGAAGGGUUUCGGCUCGUAAAACUCUGUUGUCAGGGAAGAACGUCCCCGUGAGUAACUGCACGGGGAGUGACGGUACCUGACCAGAAAGCCACGGCUAACUACGUGCCAGCAGCCGCGGUAAUACGUAGGUGGCAAGCGUUAUCCGGAAUUAUUGGGCGUAAAGCGCGCGUAGGCGGUCUGUUAAGUCUGAUGUGAAAGCCCCCGGCUCAACCGGGGAGGGUCAUUGGAAACUGGCAGACUUGAGUGCAGAAGAGGAGAGUGGAAUUCCAUGUGUAGCGGUGAAAUGCGCAGAGAUAUGGAGGAACACCAGUGGCGAAGGCGGCUCUCUGGUCUGUAACUGACGCUGAGGUGCGAAAGCGUGGGGAUCAAACAGGAUUAGAUACCCUGGUAGUCCACGCCGUAAACGAUGAGUGCUAAGUGUUAGGGGGUUUCCGCCCCUUAGUGCUGCAGCUAACGCAUUAAGCACUCCGCCUGGGGA
rnacentral:rRNA from 1 species